rnacentral:rRNA from 1 species
UACGUAGGGUGCGAGCGUUGUCCGGAAUUAUUGGGCGUAAAGAGCGUGUAGGCGGCCCCUUAAGUCCUGCGUGAAAUCCUGCGGCUCAACCGCAGACGGUCGUGGGAAACUGGAGGGCUAGAGUGCGGGAGAGGAGAGUGGAAUUCCCGGUGUAGCGGUGAAAUGCGCAGAUAUCGGGAAGAACACCCGUGGCGAAGGCGGCUCUCUGGAACGCAACUGACGCUGAGACGCGAAAGCGUGGGGAGCAAACAGG